rnacentral:rRNA from 1 species
CUCCGGCGUAAGCGUGUCAAGACCCAUACUAAAAUAAAGUUAAAACCCAGUUAAGCUGUAAAAAGCUACAACUAAAGUAAAAUAAACUACGAAAGUGACUUUAAUACCUCUGACCACACGAUAGCUAAGGCCCAAACUGGGAUUAGAUACCCCACAAA